UUAAGUAUGUUUACGGUAUACAUUAUCUGUAAAAUCAGACCGGGUCGAGGGGGGGAGUAAAGAUCUUUCUGCGAUAGCCAGGACAUUGUCCUUCUUGACAUCUGUGUUGCUGGUGGACAGGAUAUCCUGCCAAAUGUAAUAAGACAACUGUGUGACCCACCUUGUGAGAGAGGCACCACUAACUGAUUAGAGCACAGCAGGAGUGGGUGCUGAUUCUUCUAGCCCUGUGCUACAUCCUCUACACAGAAAAAAAAGAAGAAGAAAACUCCCUUACAGAAGGGAAAGGAAAGAAAAGGCCCAGUUUAGCAGAGUAACGGAUUAAACCACCUGGCAAUCCUGGCAAGAAAAGAAGAAAAUCUUAGGCUGUGACAAACCAAACCAGGUGUAACAGAUGGAUCCAGUACAAAACCAUACUCUGCAAUGAAACAAUAUCCACCAUUUGCUGCUUUCUAGAGCUGCAACAAAAUGGUGGCAAAGACAAAAUGCACACAUCUUUCUCCCUUCCUUCCACAUGCUCCCUACCUGGUUCAUGAUCCGGACACACUCAGAAUGUCACUUGGUUUUAUUUUUAAUUGUUUUGGGAGAGAGGACUUCUAUAAAGGAUGUGAAAAGAGACACUGUGGUUUGAAAAUUGCAGCUUAUUUCCUUACUAGCAUGAAUACAGAAUGUCAAAGCUAAUUUUCUCGUCAACUUAAACAUUAUCUAAAGAAUUGCAAACGCAGUUGGAUACACAGGACUUGAGCCUCUUCUCACACAGCCUGGUUUGACAGCAGCGUAAAUCCAUUGUCAGAUUUACACCAGAAUAAAUGAGAUCUGAAUCUGGUUCUGAAUUAUUGGAGAGCCAAAGAUCUGAUAGUAAAAAUCCAACUAAAAGUACAUAAAUCUGCAGGUUCUUUUGACCCUGCAGUUCCUGGCACCAUACCAAGUAGAAAUCUGCAGUUGCACUUUCUGUGAUUCUAACACCUUGUUAUCAUUAUGGAACAUAACAAAAGCCUACGUUGAGUUAUCUAAAUGAAAUAAAUCUACUGGACUUCCACUGCUGGAUUUUAUGAGAUGUGUGUAUACAGUAAGAAAGAUAUAUUUAAAAAAAAUCUUUUUACCGAGUUUGAGCACGCAUCUGUUGAAGACAGAGGACCUAAUUCCCAUGUAUGCUAAGGCCACUUUGCACCACCCUGCCCCAAAUUAAGGCCCCUUUAUGCUGUCAGAAUGGUACAAAAGGGCCUAUGGAAAUAAGGCUCAUGACCCAAAAGCGUGAGGGAGAAAUUCUGCUCUCAAAUACACCUUUGUAAAUUUAGAGUAACACCCUUCACUUGAAUGGAAUUACUCCAGUUUUACAAUAAUGCAAAUGAGAACAGAAUUUGGUUCAGCCAAUUAACAAAACUCCGCCUUUUGCUCUAUUUAUUCCAAAAGAAAACUCUAAUAAUCUAAUUCGACAUAUAACAAAAUCAGGUUCCCAAUUAAGACAAAUUCAUAUUUCUUCAUAGCUGUGUUAACGGCUGUAUUCAUUUUAGGAAAUGUGCAUGCUUUAUGAAGUUAGUUUUUAUUUAGUACACGUUAAAAGUAAAAUUCACACACACAGUCCCUGCAUAAAAUCUGAGGGAACAGAUUUGUGUAUGGGAACUGGGUACACAAAAUCUACCCUCCCCACCAAAAAGCAGAGUGGGGACAGCCCCACAAGCCUCUGCAGUAACCCCUGGAUUGUGACCCCUGCAUGCACGCUAUACAGCGGUCUGCGACCACUAGAGCCACAUAACUGCAGAUCCUUUGGCUAUGUCCCUUCCCUUUCUUCAGCUCACCCUUCAAUCCUU